rnacentral:tRNA from 1 species
GCCCCUGUAGUAUAAUGGAUUAGAAUAGAAGGUUGCGGUCCUUCAGGUCUGGGUUCGAUUCCCAGCAGGGGCA